rnacentral:rRNA from 1 species
GACGAACGCUGGCGGCGUGCUUAACACAUGCAAGUCGAACGGAAAGGCCCUGCUUUUGUGGGGUGCUCGAGUGGCGAACGGGUGAGUAACACGUGAGUAACCUGCCCUUGAUUUUGGGAUAACUUCAGGAAACUGGGGCUAAUACCGUAUAGGAGCCCCUGUUGCAUGGUGGGGGUUGGAAAGUCUCGGCGGGCGGGGAUGGACGCGCGGCUUAUCAGCUUGUUGGUGGGGUAGUGGCUUACCAAGGCUGUGACGGGUAGCCGGCAUGAGAGGGUGACCGGCGACAAUGGUACUGAGGGACGGACCAGAGGGCUACGGGGGGCAGCGGUGGGGAGUCUGACACAGUGGGCGGAAGCCUGAUGAAGAGACGCCGCGGGCGGGAUGACGGCUUUCGGGUUGUAAACCGCUUUCGCCUGUGACGAAGCGUGAGUGACGGUAAUGGAUAAAGAAGCACCGGCUAACUACGUG